rnacentral:rRNA from 1 species
AACAAACGCUGGCGGCGUGCCUAAUACAUGCAAGUCGAACGGGGAAAGCUUUCGGGUGAGUACUAGUGGCGCACGGGUGAGGAACGCGUGGAUAAUCUGCCUUAGAGUGGGGGAUAACUAGUCGAAAGAUUAGCUAAUACCGCAUAAGACCACAAGAUCUGCGGAUCAAGGGGUCAAAGGUUUUUCGCUCUAAGAUGAGUCCGCGUAAGAUUAGCUAGUUGGUGAGGUAACGGCUCACCAAGGCGACGAUCUUUAACUGGUCUGAGAGGAUGAUCAGUCAAAAUGGAAAUGAGACACGGUCCAGACUCCUACGGGAGGCAGCAGUAGGGAAUAUUGCACAAUGGAGGAAACUCUGAUGCAGCGACGCCGCGUGAGUGAUGAAGGCCUUCGGGUCGUAAAGCUCUGUCGCAGGGGAAUAACACAAUGAAGGUACCCUGUAAGAAAGGAUCGGCUAACUUCGUGCCAGCCGCCGCCGUAAUAC